rnacentral:rRNA from 1 species
GACGAACGCUGGCGGCGUGCCUAAUACAUGCAAGUCGAACGCUGAGGGCGGAGCUUGCUUCCUCGGAUGAGUUGCGAACGGGUGAGUAACGCGUAGGUAACCUGCCUGGUAGCGGGGGAUAACUAUUGGGAACGAUAGCUAAUACCGCAUAAUAGCAGUUGUUGCAUGACAACUGUUUGAAAGGUGCAAUUGCACCACUACCAGAUGGACCUGCGUUGUAUUAGAUAGUUGGUGGGGUAACGGCUCACCAAGGCGACGAUACAUCGCCGACCUGGGAGGGGGGUCGGCCACACUUGGACUUGGACCCGGCCCAGACUCCUACGGGGGGCAGCAGUAGGGAAUCUUCGGCAAUGGACGGAAGUCUGACCGAACAACGCCGCGGGAGUGAAGAAGGUUUUCGGAUCGUAAAGCCCUGUUGUAAGAGGAGAACGAGUGUGGGAAUGGAAAGUUCACACUGUGACGGUAUCUUACCAGAAAGGGACGGCUAACUACGUG